AGAUUGUCCUUUUGUCCCUUUCAAAAGUCAACCACGCUCCCCGCAUCCGAAGUCCAAAUCAUCUCAGAAAAGGACAAGACACCACUGGAGGAGAGAGAGAGAGAGAGAGAGAGAGGCAAGGCGAAGGGAGCGGAGACGUGAAGCCCAGCACCCUGCUGCUACCGCAGCUCGCCCUCCGAGAAUUUCCAAAGUUCAACUAGCGGAACGGACAAGAAAGCUCCCAAACACCGACCAGAACCGGAAGCCUUCGCAUCUCAUUGGCCUCUGAUCAUUCCGGUUCCGCCGAGAUAUAAUUUUUUUGCAGCGGAAUCUGCCGUCUUUCUCUGAUCAGCGACUCAAAAGCAUGUCGGAAAGCGACGUCCCUUACUGCUGUGGUUCCUGUGGAUAUCCUCUGAACUUGGCAUCUUCCAAUCAGAUUACCGCUGGAGUGGGUUCAGAAUAUGAUAAAGACCUGAAGAAAGGUUUUGGUACCUUUCUUACGAUUGAUCUCAGCAGAUUCACCCAGGUGGAUGAAGUAACAUGUUUUCCGGUUUAUUGGGGUCGUAACCACUUAAAGACAAAACUUCUCUGCCGUAAGUGUGGCGCACACAUUGGGUAUGGUUAUAGGGAGUCGCCAGUUCUUUGUGGUUUUCACUCGGCCAGUUCAUCUAGAUCUUCUUACAGUAAGUUCACCGUGAAGGUUCUAGCUAUACAGCCUUCAGGGAACUGCUAAUUCUUUGACAAUAGAAGCUUUAGAAAGUCUAACCUUCAUUGAGCAAGUUGCAGAUGAUUGCUUUACCCAUAUAGCCAUACUUCAUUUGGUUGUGGAGUUGAAAUCGCAUUGGUGGCUUUCUACAAGUAUACUGACUAUUCAUCCUAACAACUCGAUUUCUUCCUUGUCCUUUGAAAGUUUCAUUUGUUUUAGAACGUUCUUAAUUCUCAUGAUUAGUUCUUCAAAUCAUUUUGUUGCUUACCCAUCUCUGUAGAGUCCUUUUAUUUCCUAUAUCUGACUGGAAGGAAUAUGCCAGUUGCAACCAAAGGUGUAAAUCCGUAAAUUCUCUGUGCCGACUGUUGCUUGAGAAUUAUGUAUUUCCACUAGCCGCUGGUUAUCUGUUUUCAGCAAUUGUUCCACGACUGCAACGUUAGUAAUGGUGGAUGGUGGCAUGAGAUUUUCCUUCACUAGAAUGGUUCUGGAUUCACCAGCUAUAUCAGCUAUCUCAUGGAUGCGACUGCUUUUCACAUUGGAGGUUUCCAAAACUUCACUAAAUUUGCCGAGCUUGUUGCAAUUUGGAGAAACACUUUGUGUGGUUCUAACUGAAGCUAGUCGUCAACUUUGAGGCUUGUUAGGUCAUAGAUUAGAGAGCUCGAAUUAAUAAAUAAAAUGGAAUGCAUAGCGUUCACAGUGCUUUUGUGAGAGACACUAUCAACUGUAAUUCAAUAAUUUAUGUUUAUUGUAAAAGCAGUCAUUUCUUGA